ACGAACGCUGGCGGCAUGCCUAACACAUGCAAGUCGAACGAGACCUUCGGGUCUAGUGGCGCACGGGUGCGUAACGCGUGGGAACCUGCCCCUCGGUUCGGAAUAACACAGAGAAAUUUGUGCUAAUAUCGGAUGAUGUCUUCGGACCAAAGAUUUAUCGCCGAGGGAUGGGCCCGCGUAGGAUUAGCUUGUUGGUGGGGUAACGGCCUACCAAGGCGACGAUCCUUAGCUGGUCUGAGAGGAUGAUCAGCCACACUGGGACUGAGACACGGCCCAGACUCCUACGGGAGGCAGCAGUGGGGAAUAUUGGACAAUGGGCGAAAGCCUGAUCCAGCAAUGCCGCGUGAGUGAUGAAGGCCUUCGGGUUGUAAAGCUCUUUUACCCGGGAUGAUAAUGACAGUACCGGGAGAAUAAGCUCCGGCUAACUCCGU
rnacentral:rRNA from 1 species